CUCCCCAAGGGCAGCUCUCGCUCUUUUCAUGCGCCGACAGGUUGGUCUGGUCGUUUCUGGGGUAGAACUGGCUGCAAUUUUGACUCUUCCGGCCACGGCUCCUGCAUCACAGCCGACUGCGGCUCCUCCCAACUCGAAUGCAACGGCAACAGUGCUACUCCGCCUGCCACCUUAGCUGAAUUCACUCUCGGCACCGGCGCACAAGAUUUCUACGACGUUAGCCUCGUCGACGGCUAUAACUUGCAAAUGGUAGUUGAUGUGAAUGGAGGCUCUGGCGCUUGUGCGUCGACGGGAUGCGUGACGGACCUUAACAGGAAAUGCCCGAAUGAGCUCAAAGUUGAAGGUGGAGCAGCUUGCCGGAGCGCUUGCGAUGCGUUCGGGAACCCCGAGUACUGUUGCAGUGGCGCAUAUAAUACACCAUCAACCUGUAAACCUUCCACGUACUCAGAAAUGUUCAAAAGCGCGUGUCCGAAAUCAUACAGCUACGCGUUCGAUGAUGCUUCCAGUACUUUUACGUGUACUGGUGCUGACUACACCAUCACAUUCUGCCCUAAUUCGCCCAGUCUAAAAUCUGCAAGAGAUUCGUCACCAAAUGCAACAGAGACGGAAGGAGGAGGAGCAGUAGGAGGAGCAUCAACGGAGUCAGGGCCAGUACAAGAGGCAGAAUUGGAAAGUGCAUGGCUAGCAAGUUUGGCCACAGGAGAUUCAACAAGAAGCCACUCCUUUUCACUUGUGCAAUUUCUAUUUGUUUUGGUCACAUCUUUCAUUUCAUUCUUUGGUACAAUAAUAUUCAACUGUAGCUAACUUCUCUCUCUCAUCAUAUGUCAAUUUUUCAAUGGGCUA
rnacentral:misc_RNA from 1 species